CAAAUAAAAAGCAAGAGAAAAGGGAAGGAGAAGAAGAAGAAGGAGAAGAGCAAGGGAGGAGGAAGAAGAGGGGAGCAAGGGGAGUGCCUAUAGAUUCAAGGAGUAUAAUCAAGAGGUGACGAGACACGGCGCGAGGCUAUCAGGGCUCCAUCAUCACCUAGGACUCGAGAUGUUGAUUCAGGGAACCCUUCGGAAACCAUGGCUGAAGAUUCAACUCUUUACGGAGGUGACCUCUGGGAUGAGGAGCUGGUUGAGCACGAGGAUGGAUACGUGUGUGAUGACUGUGCAUAUGAAGCAUGCUGAGGAUGAGAGUACCAUCUUCUAUUUUUUUUAUUCUUUUUGUACGUAUCAGAUAUAGUCAUAGGGGCAUGACUGUAAUUUUGAUUCCGAUGUGAAAACCUUCUUUUGAGUAAAUAUGUUAAAUAUCAUUAGAUAUCACCAGUUGUGUAUAUUUUGAUUUAUUAUUAUCUAUAUGAUCGUAGAAUCAUUCCAUA